rnacentral:tRNA from 1 species
CGCGGGGUAGAGCAGUCCGGUAGCUUGCGAGGCUCAUAACCUCGAGGUCGCAGGUUCAAAUCCUGUCCCCGCAA